rnacentral:rRNA from 1 species
AGGGGUAGCUAAACUAAGCUAGGCAGGANUGNAAUGCNUAGGUUAGNGUNGNUAGCGAGCGAGUGAACGACACGAAGCAUAGCGAGGCGGCAGGCAGGGCUAGGCCGGUCCCCUGAAAAGGACGCCUCCCGGCCCGGACCGGACCCCCCGCGGGACCGGACCCGGCGCCCGCCGGAGGAUAACCAAACUCUAUUGUAACGACGUUUCUUCUGAGUGGCAUAAGCAAAAUAAUCAAAACUUUUAACAACGGAUCUCUUGGUUCUGGCAUCGAUGAAGAACGCAGCGAAAUGCGAUAAGUAAUGUGAAUUGCAGAAUUCAGUGAAUCAUCGAAUCUUUGAACGCACAUUGCGCCCGCCAGCAUUCUGGCGGGCAUGCCUGUUCGAGCGUCAUUUCAACCCUCAAGCUCUGCUUGGUGUUGGGGCUCUACGGUCGACGUAGGCCCUCAAAGGUAGUGGCGGACCCUCCCGGAGCCUCCUUUGCGUAGUAACAUUUCGUCUCGCACUGGGAUCCGGAGGGACUCUUGCCGUAAAACCCCCCAAUUUUCCAAAGGUUGACCUCGGAUCAGGUAGGAAUACCCGCUGAACUUA